rnacentral:rRNA from 1 species
GAUUAGAUACCCUAGUAUUAUAAUAUAAUUUGAAAUUAGUAUAAGUGAAAUUUAAUAAUUUUGGCGGUUAAUUAGUAUUUAGAGGAGCUUGUAUCUUAGUAGAAUCUGCUCUUUAUAUUUUAUUAGUAAUUUAAUUUAUUCAUCUCCGUUAUUAAUUUUUAAAAAAGGAGGUUAAGAAAAAUUUAAUAGUUAAUUAUUUUAUAUUUCAGGUCAAGAUGUAGUCUUUAUUUAGAGAUAUUAGCUACAUUUAUGUAAUUAAUGAAAUAUUUAAUUUUAAAUGGUAGAAGGUAGGAAAUUGAAUUUAAUUGUAAUUAUUAAUUAAGAUAUUAGUAUGAAUUAGUCUGAUUAAUGUACAUAUUGCCCGUCACUUCUAUAUAAAAUGGAAUAAGUCGUAACAAAGUA